GCUUAACGCGAAGAACCUUACCUAGACUUGACAUCUCCUGAAUUACCCUUAAUCGGGGAAGCCCUUCGGGGCAGGAAGACAGGUGGUGCAUGGUUGUCGUCAGCUCGUGUCGUGAGAUGUUGGGUUAAGUCCCGCAACGAGCGCAAUCCUUAUUGUUAGUUGCUACCAUUUAGUUGAGCACUCUAGCGAGACUGCCCGGGUUAACCGGGAGGAAGGUGGGGAUGACGUCAAAUCAUCAUGCCCCUUAUGUCUAGGGCUACACACGUGCUACAAUGGCUGGUACAGAGAGAUGCUAAACCGUGAGGCGGAGCUAGACUUUAAAACCAGUCUCAGUUCGGAUUGUAGGCUGAAACUCGCCUACAUGAAGCUGGAGUUGCUAGUAAUCGCGAAUCAGAAUGUCGCGGUGAAUACGUUCCCGGGUCUUGUACACAC
rnacentral:rRNA from 1 species